CACUAGUAAUAUGCUUACUUUCCCUGCAGUAAGCUCUGAUUCCCCUUUGAUACCAGGCCUCCUUGGACAGAAGCACUGCAGCCCUUGUCCUUGCGGGUGCGAGAUGAGGAUCUAGGGACACCCAGUUGCUCUCACAGAUGGGGGCUCCCAAUAAUCAAGUGAUGCAGCAAUGCUAAAGGACCAGUUAUCCAGGGUGCAUCCCUGACAAUGUUACAAAGGGAAAAAACAAGAUGCCUAAGAUUGGAACAUGACUCCAAAGUUUCGAUGCUGCCAGACUUCAGGCUUUCUGAAAUAAGAAUCUUGCAUAAUGUUCUGAAAGUGAACCAAUCUGAAUUACCAGAGGGAACGAAUUUCACUUCUAGGGACCAUCUCCCGAGACCGCCCACCCUCCCUCAUGAGUGCACAUUUAAAGGCUGUCAGCAAAAGCACCUCGGCUGAUCUGUAGGAUGGUGCACAUCAUCAGUAGAAAUUAGUCUAGAGGGACUUUUAUUCCCACUUCAAUUUAAAACACAAAACGCUCAAAACAAAGAGGAUGAAGUGUUUAGUGAUCAUCUUUUCUGCUUCCCAGUGGAGGUAUGUUGCAUAUUGUGUCAUGCCUCUUGGCUCCUUACUGAUUAACUUAUUCCCAACUUCAUCUGAAUGAGCUGGAGGGAGGGAAAGGAAUGAGUCACAAGUAAUUUUUGCAUAGGCAGGAACCCAGAUCAGCAUCUAACCUAAUACAGGGCUCUUUGUUAUCUAAAAUGGUUAGAAAAUGGAAGUGUAAUCUUGGGAGCAGAGAAAAUUAGGCAUGGGGAGAGAAUGGGAAAGAUCAGCUGGCUGGAGGCAGCCGCCUGGGAGGUGAUUGCAAAACUGAUAGAGGAAUGAUGGUCAAGAACAGUAGCCUAUCCUCAGAACACUGGGGUUCAACUCCUAGCUCUGCCUAGACUUCAUGUGUGACUUUGGGCAAGUCACUUAAUCUGUUCGUCAGAUACUCUGUAGGAAUGUUUCCCUACCUAGUGUGAUAAAAUACAUUAAAGAUUGGGAUGCACUUUGA